UAAUAAUAUAGAAUAAUAAAGUGUUUGGUCAGUCUUCUGGAAUCAUGGAGUCAAUGCUAAUUAUUACCUGGCUGGGAAUGUUCUGCUAUGACACACAACAACAGCCUGAGGUGUUUGGCUGUGCCAGUGCAGCUGGUAAAAGCAAGCAGCCCAACAGCUGAUAAAUGUCACCAGGGAUAUGAUGAAGAGUGUUUUACUGCUGGCUGACCACUAAUGGAUUUGGAGAUGUUAACUGUAGUCCAGAGGCAUCCUGAAAUGUAUCACUGAAAGUAUCACAGCAUCUGUAACCACCUGCUGCCUUCAGGCUGACUCUGCUUUGCAUAGCAUACAGAACUAGUAGGAAUUGCCAGCCAUGAAGUCUUGACUUUGGGACAAAAUAGACCUAAAAUCACAUCUUCAGGAGAGGGAAGAUGGAGGAAGAAGGAUCAUGGCAAGCAAGCUGCUGAGGAAAGCAAAACUGAAUAGUUUGUUAAAGGUCUGAAUUAGAAGAACAGUUUCCCACAUUGUCACAUUAUGAUGACCUCCUUCAGCUCAGAGUGGAUUCACUGGCAGACACUAAAACCAAGACCAAGACCAGGAAAGGCAAAGAUUGCUCAGGUGAGAGGGAAGCCAUGAAGCCCUGCUGUGGGUCAGCAGGGAUGGGGAUGCUCAGAUUUGUCCAGACUGAUCAAACAAGGGAGAGGCAACCAGGCAGGCUCCUUCAGCCCUGUCCUGAAAGUCCCUGGUCUGAAGAACCAUCUGAGCAGAAAAGCACUGUUUCUUUCCAGAUGUUCCUCUAGUCACUCUGAGUAAAAGCUAAAAUGCGAACAUUUCUGAAGGAAACAAGGCUCUUUGUGUCUGCAUCCAGGACUGUUUGUCUUCUGUUGUGUCUCUUCCCUAACCUUUUGUGAGCCCUUUGGACAACUUACAUCUAAUAAGACAAGCCAGAAGUCUCACAGUCAUUAAGUUCCUACACAUUUCCUGAAAAUAGGAUGUGAGUGGAAGAGAAAGAGCUCAUUAAUGCUGCCUGUG